GACUGAAAAUACACAGAACUCAGAGAUAUUUUGUCCGAAGCCAUUUUUAUAUACAUUAACUUACUAAAAAAAGUAAAAGAAAUAAAAAUUGUAUUUUUUUUUUUUUUGGAGACGGAGUCUCGGUCUAUUGCCAGGCUGGAGUGCAGUGGGGCGAUCUUGGCUCUGCAACCUCCGAUUCCCAGGUUCAGGCUAUUCUCCUGCCUCAGCCUCCUGAGUAGCUAGGACUACAGGCUCACGCCACCAUGCCCAGCUAAUUUCUGUAUUUUUAGUAGAGACAGGGUUUCACCAUGUUGGACAGUAAAGUUGGUAGGGUGAUUAAUUUGCCUAUUGGUAAUGAAGAUCAGUAUAUCAUUAAAAAAACCUAAAGUUUGAAGGUAAACGAACUAUGUGGUUGUCUUUUUAUUAAUACCAACUUUAAGCAGUUGGAUUCAUUACUUGAUUUCUUAGAAAGACACAUUGAUAAAGUAUGUAAAGCCCCAACAAAUUAAGUGCAUAUAUAAGGUAUGGACUUUUUAAAAUGAAAAACUGCAAAUAUCUUACAAAUAAUUUUGUUCAUUAUAUCUAUACAAUGCACCAUUCAAUUCACUCAUUACAAUACUUUGCACCAAACCUUGCUAUCUGCAAUCUUAACACUCCUCAAAUAUGAGAAAAACACAUAGUUUCCACUGUUCUAAGAAGCGAAAUUUAUAAAGUCAACACAAUAUAUUAUCAAGGAUUAUAGGUCUAAAACAGUUUUUAAAGACAAUUUAUACACAUUGAAAUGGGUGCUUUGCUUAAUUAAAAAGCUAGAAAUAAAGCUUCUUGCAAUUUAAUAAACAAGGUUGCAGUUAACAGCAGAUUUUUCACAUUGCAACAUUCAACUAUCAUCAUGGAGAUAUCAAUAAAGGUAAAGAGUGGUAUAUUUAUUUCUUCUGAAAACACUGUUGAGGAAUUUAAGUGCUAUUGUCUUAAUAUUUUUAUAAUAAUUAAGAAAUAAUUUGGAAAGACAUUUUACUUUUAAAUUUUUUCAACAUAAG
rnacentral:lncRNA from 10 species